rnacentral:misc_RNA from 1 species
AACGCACAUUGCGCCCGCCAGUAUUCUGGGAGGCAUGCCUGUCCGAGCGUCGUUUCAACCCUCAAGCCCUCUCGCGGUUUGGUGUUGGAGUCCUACAGUCUUCUUGUAGUCUCCCAAAACCAGUGGCGGACCCGUCGCGGCCCUUCCUUUGCGUAGUAGCAUUCGCCUCGCAUCGGGAGCCCACGGGACUUUCUGGCCUCUAAACCCCCCACAAGCCCGCUCCGGCGGCACAAGGUUGACCUCGGAUCAGGUAGGAAUACCCGCUGAACUUAA